AGAUAUUCUUAUAAACAAUAAGAAAUUGGUGAUUAUCGAAGAUAUGCUGUUUAUUACCCUAAGUGGAGACUCCGCACCCUGAAUGUGUGAAGGAGGAUGGAGCUUUGAUCUUAAAGGUGAUUAUGCCGGCUUCCCUAUCAGAGUCCCCUUGCAUGGUAGAGGCUCAGCACAAAUCUGAGAGCACUAGAAUGAGCAUGACUGUCUCUAGGAUCCAUGUGGCAGAAGAUGCAAGAACCAUUAUGUAAUUUGGGUCAAUGGAGUAAGAAGACUAUGACAUUCUAUCUGUGUAGCUUUAGGGUUCAGGAGACUUGAAGAUUUCGCCUCAAUCUCGGGCUGUUCCUGGAAGGUUAGCCUGGUGAGGAAGAUAAAGACAUUUGCAACCAAGAUGGUAAUCACGAGUGGAAAUGAUGAAGACAGAGGAGGUCAAGAAAAAGAAAGUAAGGAGGAGAGUGUCUUGGCAAUGCUGGGGAUUAUUGGGACCAUUCUGAACCUGAUUGUGAUCAUAUUUGUCUACAUAUACACCACCCUGUGAAUGGCCCAGAGCGUCCUCAGAGGCCUCGGGAUGGCCAGAGACGGAAGUCCUGCGUGUCGGCGUAUCACUGACCAGACACUGCGAGAACCAGCAGGCUUGACCCACCCACACCACCCAAUCAAAUGCACCUUCAGACUUUACAGAAGGUCACACAAAUAGACCGAUCCUGCUGCAGGGAGCAGACACUAAAGCACAAUGAUUCCAACAAAACUCAUUCACAGCACUAGGAACUCAACGUCUUUGGCAGGGGGCCCAGAAGAAUGCUUGGACGACCAGCCUCUGACACCAUCGGUGGUCCUCAGAACAAUCUUUGUGGAGUGGAUGGGACAGGACCCCAUGCGUCAGUCAUGGUCAGAAGUUAGCCACAUCCUUCCUGCGCUCUCAGGCCAGUGCUCA
rnacentral:lncRNA from 1 species